UAGGGAAUCUUCCACAAUGGACGAAAGUCUGAUGGAGCAACGCCGCGUGAGUGAUGAAGGGUUUCGGCUCGUAAAACUCUGUUGUUGGAGAAGAACGGGUGUCAGAGUAACUGUUGACAUCGUGACGGUAUCCAACCAGAAAGCCACGGCUAACUACGUGCCAGCAGCCGCGGUAAUACGUAGGUGGCAAGCGUUGUCCGGAUUUAUUGGGCGUAAAGCGAGCGCAGGCGGUUUUUUAGGUCUGAUGUGAAAGCCUUCGGCUUAACCGGAGAAGUGCAUCGGAAACCGGGAGACUUGAGUGCAGAAGAGGACAGUGGAACUCCAUGUGUAGCGGUGAAAUGCGUAGAUAUAUGGAAGAACACCAGUGGCGAAGGCGGCUGUCUGGUCUGCAACUGACGCUGAGGCUCGAAAGCAUGGGUAGCGAACAGGAUUAGAUACCCUGGUAGUCCAUGCCGUAAACGAUGAGUGCUAAGUGUUGGAGGGUUUCCGCCCUUCAGUGCUGCAGCUAACGCAUUAAGCACUCCGCCUGGGGGAGUACGACCGCAAGG
rnacentral:rRNA from 1 species